rnacentral:rRNA from 1 species
CCUACUGCUAUCGGGGUGGGACUAAGACAUGCGAGUCGUGCGUCUCUAAGCUAUGGUAGAGACGCGGCAUACGGCUCAGUAACACGUGGCUAACCUAGCCUUAGGACGGGAACACCCCCCGGAAACUGGGGUUAAUACCCGAUGGAUGAGGAGGCCUGGAAUGGUUCUUCACCGAAAAGACGUCGAGACCAUGCUUCCAACGUCGCCUGAGGAUGGGGCCGCGUCCGAUCAGGUUGUUGGUGUGGUAACGGCUCACCAAGCCUAUAACCGGUACGGGCCGUGAGAGCGGAAGCCCGGAGAUGGGCACUGAGAUAAGGGCCCAGGCCCUACGGGGCGCAGCAGUCGCGAAAACUCCGCAAUGCGCGAAAGCGUGACGGGGCUACCCCGAGUGCCGUCCGCUGAGGAUGGCUUUUCCCCGGUGUAAUGAGCCGGGGGAAUAAGGAGAGGGCAAGCCUGGUGUCAGCCGCCGCGGUAAUACCAGCUCUCCGAGUGGUAGGGACAAUUAUUGGGCUUAAAGCGUCCGUAGCCGGCCCGGCAAGUCUCCCGUUAAAUCCAGCGACCUAAUCGUUGGGCUGCGGAAGAUACUGUUGGGCUAGGGGGCGGGAGAGGCCGACGGUAUUCCUGGGGUAGGGGUGAAAUCCUAUAAUCCCGGGAGGACCACCAGUGGCGAAGCUGUCGGCUAGAACGCGCUCGACGGUGAGGGACGAAAGCUGGGGGAGCGAACCGGAUUAGAUACCCGGGUAGUCCCAGCUGUAAACGAUGCGGGCUAGGUGUUGGGGUGGUUACGAACCACUUCA